rnacentral:lncRNA from 1 species
CAGGCCAGAGAUCAAACUGCCACCACAGCAGCGACAAUGACAGAUGUGCUGCUGAGCCACCAGGGAACUCCUUGUUUGUACUUUUCUCGAUUCCACAUAUAAGUGAAAUCAUAUGAUAUUUGUCUUUCUCUGACUGACAUUUCACUCAGCAUAGUGCCCUCAAGAUCCAUUUAUGUGGUCACAAAGGGCAAUAUUUGAUUUUUUAUUGCUGAAUAAUAUUCCAUUGUGCAUAUAUAAAAUAUAUAUGCAAAAAUAUAUAAAAUAUAUACAAAUUUUAUGUUGUGUGUAUAAAAUAUAUACAUUGCAUAUAAAAAAUAGUUACAUUGCCUAUAUAAAAUAUUACAUUGUGCACAUAUAGAAUAUAUGAUCAGUUUCUUUACCCAUUUAUCUGUUGGUGGACUUUUAUGUUGUUUCCACGUCUUGGCAGUUGUAAAUAAUGCUGCAAUGAACAUGAGAGGGCAUAUAUGCAUAAACCUUUUCAAAUUAGUGUUUUCGUUUUCUUCAGGUGAAUACCCAGGAGCGGAAUUUCUGGAUCAUACGGUAGUUUUCUUUUUAAUUCUUUGGCAAAACAGAAACCUCCUUCUUGCUUUCCACCAUGACUGCACCAAUCGCCAUCUAUAUUCCCACCAACAGUGCAGGAAUAUCCCCUUCUCUCCACAUCCUCACCAAUGUUUGUUAUUCCUCUUUUUUUUAAUUUUUAAUUUUUAUUUUUACCAGCUGCACCUGCAGCAGCAUAUGGAAGUUCCUGGGCCAGGAGUCGAAUCGGAGCUGCAACUGCAGCCUACACUGUAGCCAUAGCAACACCGGAUCCAAGCUGCAUCUGGCACCUACACUGUAGCUUACAUUAAUUCCUUAAUCUACUGAGUAAGGCCAGGGAUGGCACCCGAGUCUUCACAAAGACAACGUUGGUUCUUAACCCACUGAGCCGAAAUGGGAACUCCUCCUUAUCUUUUGGGUAAUAACCAUUCUAACAGGCAUGAGGUGAUAGCUGAUGGUUUUGAUUUGCAUUUCCCUGAUGACUACUGAUUUGAGCAUCUUUUCAUGUAUGUCUUCGCCAUCUAUAUGUCUCCUUUGGAAAACUGUCUCUUCACAUCCUCUGCCCAUUUUUUAAUGGGAUUAUUUGUUUGCUCUUGAGUCAUAGGAGUUCUUUAUACAUUUUGGCUCUUAGCCCCUUAUCAGAUAUAUGAUUUGCAAAUAUUUUUCCCAUUCAGUAGGUUGUCUUCUCAUUUUGUUGGCCAUUUCUUUUGCUGUACAGAAGUAUUCCAAUUUAAUAUCAGAGGCCCCCCCCAAAAAAACAAUAUCAAAGCCUACAUUUUAUCAACAGCUCCCAAAGUAAGAAAUAAAUUAUCCUUGGAGUUUUCAUUGUAGCUCAAUGGGUUAAGAACCCAACUGUAUCCAUGAGGAUGCAGGCUCCAUCCCUGGCAUCGCUCACUGGGUUAAGAAUUCAGCUCUAUGGAGUUCCCGUCAUGGCACAGUGGUUAACGAAUCUGACUAGGAACCAUGAGGUUGCGGUCUAAAUUUGUAUUUCUACCUAAAUUGCCAUUUUUGUCUAAAAAAAUUUAUCCUAUGAUUAACAACUUUCAUUUUCUCUUCUUUCUU